AGAGUUUGAUCCUGGCUCAGAACGAACGUUGGCGGCGUGGAUUAGGCAUGCAAGUCGAACGAAUCCCAGCUUUGUAGCAAUACCGAGCUGGGGGAAGUGGCGAAAGGGGCAGUAAUGCGUGGGUAACCUACCUCGGGGACGUGGAUAGCCAUUCUAACGAGUGGGUAAUACGCGGCGAUUUGAUUGAGGGGCAUCCCUUGGUCAGGAAAUGAAUUUCGCCUCGCGAGGGGCUCACGUGAUAUUAGCUAGUUGGUAGGGUAACGGCCUACCAAGGCAAAGAUGUCUAGCGGGUGUGAGAGCACGACCCGCGCCACUGGCACUGAGACACUGGCCAGACACCUACGGGUGGCUGCAGUCGAGGAUCUUUGGCAAUGAGCGCAAGCUUGACCAAGCGACGCCGCGUGUGCGAUGAAGGCCUUCGGGUUGUAAAGCACU
rnacentral:rRNA from 1 species